AGAGUUUGAUCCUGGCUCAGGACGAACGCUGGCGGCGUGCCUAACACAUGCAAGUCGAGCGAUGAAGCUCCUUCGGGAGUGGAUUAGCGGCGGACGGGUGAGUAACACGUGGGCAACCUGCCUCAAAGUGGGGAAUAGCCCUCCGAAAGGAGGAUUAAUACCGCAUAACAUGAAGGAAUCGCAUGGUACCUUCAUUAAAGAUUUAUCGCUUUGAGAUGGGCCCGCGGCGCAUUAGCUAGUUGGUGAGGUAACGGCUCACCAAGGCGACGAUGCGUAGCCGACCUGAGAGGGUGAUCGGCCACAUUGGAACUGAGACACGGUCCAGACUCCUACGGGAGGCAGCAGUGGGGAAUAUUGCGCAAUGGGGGAAACCCUGACGCAGCAACGCCGCGUGAGUGAUGAAGGUCUUCGGAUUGUAAAACUCUGUCUUCAGGGACGAUAAUGACGGUACCUGAGGAGGAAGCCACGGCUAACUACGUGCCAGCAGCCGCGGUAA
rnacentral:rRNA from 1 species